GGUUCUGUGCGGCGCGCGUGCAUCCGUCGACCAUGUAUUGUACUUUAAUUCUGUUUGCUUCAAGUGAGAGAAGAAAAGUUCUUUAAUCGUAUGAACUACAUUUAGUCACCUUCAAGGGUCGGGAAAUGCCCUUAAAUCACUCUCAAACUUCAGCAAUUUUGGUAAUUUUUAAAAAGUUGCUGUGGUAAAUGGUGAUAGAGUAAGAGUUCUUUAAUGGUAUGAACUGCAGUCAGUCACCCUCAAGGGCCGGGAUAUGCCCUUAAAUCACUCUCAAACUUCAGCAAUUUUUGUCAUUUUUGAAAAGUUGCGGUGGAAAUUAGUGAUAGAAGAAGAGUCCUUUAAUCGUAUGAACUACAUUCUACAUUCAGCAUUUUUUGUCAUUUUUGAAAAGUUGCUAUGGAAAAUG